UACGUAGGGUGCAAGCGUUGUCCGGAAUUAUUGGGCGUAAAGGGCUCGUAGGCGGUCUGUUGCGUCGGGAGUGAAAUCUUACAGCUUAACUGUAAACUUGCUUUCGAUACGGGCAGACUUGAGGUAUUCAGGGGAGAACGGAAUUCCUGGUGUAGCGGUGAAAUGCGCAGAUAUCAGGAGGAACACCGGUGGCGAAGGCGGUUCUCUGGGAAUAUUCUGACGCUGAGGAGCGAAAGUGUGGGGAGCGAACAGG
rnacentral:rRNA from 1 species